GAGGGAGGAGGUGAGGCUCUGAGGGAGGGGAAGAAGGUCUGAAGGAGGAGGCCCUGUCUGAGGAAGUCUGAGAAGGACCAAGUGAGGAAAGCAGCUCAGAGGGAGGAGGAGAGAGUUGGCUGGCGCGGGGCGGGGGGUGGGGGGUGGGUUGUGAUGGAGGAAGAGGUUUGAGGGUGAGGACAUGAGGGUCUGAGGACGGAGAGCAUGGUCUGAGGGAGGAGGAGCAGUUUGAGGAGGGCCUCCUUGGGACACAGGGAAGAGAGGCGUGCUUGGGACCAAGCAGCGACUGAGGGAAGGGAAGAGAAGGGAGGCCUGGAGUCAGCCCCGCCCUGCAGCUGUCUAAUUUCCCAGAAUCUUCUACUGCUCAGGAAAGUCCCAGCUCCCACAGCCGCCUCCCUCCAGUGUCGGGAAUGGAGGAUGCGGAAGCAGGACGGCUGCCCCCUCCUUUUCCCCCUGGCUCCCAGCACCCCAGGCUGGGAGGACUAGGGUCUCCCCUCUCUGCGCUUGAGCUCCGGAGGUCCCCUGCCGGCAGGGGGCAGCCCCUGGAUGAGUCCCAGAAAGUUCCCAGAGAGAGCCCGGAAGUCCUGCGUGGUGUCUAACCACUUUCCCUCGCGCAGGCUGCCUUUUGUAUCCGUGCAAAUCUUUCCUUCCCUUCUACCCCUACCCCCAGGGAAGGAAGGGCUGAGCCCGUCCAAGGUCCCGAGAAGGAAACGAAGGCCUGGCUGGAAGGCUGUGGGCCUUGGGGCACUUCCUCGCUCUUGGGGGCCUUCCAAGAGGGGAGGAUAGUGCUUGUUAGAUACUAGAUUCCCAUCGGCUUAAUUCCUGGGCCUUUUUCUGUUCCAAGUUUUGCUCCCAACUGAGGCCCGAGCUUCUGGUUUCAUCAGCUGUGUGGCUUCCUGGCCAUUACUGAACUUCGUGGAGCCUCAACUUCCCCACCUACCAGGCAGACUAAAUCGAGACCCUAAUGCUUCCGUCCUCUAGGGCCCGAUGGAUAGGAAGUGCUAAAGGCAGUGUGGCUGCAAUUAUUAUGAUCCCUGUUAUAACCGCAGGAGCAACGGUGAUAAUUAUUCCUAUCCAGGAACCUAACGUUUCAACAGCUGGGCCCAUUUCAUUGAGGAAAUUGGGACCCAACAUGCUGGGCCUGGAAGAUACGGGUUUGAGGCCGGGUUCUGCCAUGUGUCGGCUGUGUGUGACUUUGGAUAGGUGGCUUUCCCUCUCUGUGCCUUUGUUGGUGACUUUACUGUUGGGGAUCAUAACAGCUCCUGCCUCACAGGGUUGCAGAGCAGAUUGAGACCACGUGUACAGAAUGAAUAGCUGAAUGAAUGAAUGAAUGAAUGAAUGAACGGUGUCCCUUCUUGCCUCCAUGUUGCCUGCCUUAACUCAUCGGGCCAGGCCUUCCCUGUAACCCUCUCCGCCCAGAGAUAAAGCAAGAUGGGCCCAUUCGCCCUGGGCUGAACUCCCAUGAAGAAUUGGCCCAUGUAAUCCUCUUGACAUCUCGUGAGGAAAUCCAGCUGCAACUCCCAUUUUACAGAGACACAACAGAGGAGCGGAGUCCCUGCUCAGGGUCAUCAAGAUUUUAUGCCAGGUCUCUGUGUCCCCCGCAGCCCGGCUGCUGGGGCAAUCGGUCCCCGAGACCACAGGCCUUCCCUCUCCUGUCUAACUCCAGACCCCUAUCCCCUAAGAAGGGAAUGGCUCAGGAGGGGAAAACUCAGGCACAAAGAGGCAAAGUCACGGCCAGAGCUUAGCAGGUCUACAGUCUGUCUGCAGGCUCCAGGCACAGGGAGGGUCGAGCUGAUGGAGGGAAGGUCGCGUCGCAGCAGGAAGGUAUAGAUUUAGAUUGAAGAGAGGGUUCCGGGAAAGCGAGCAGAUUGCACAGACAGAGGAGAACAGACCUGAGCCUGGAGCUGGGGGGCCCUGCCCAAGGUCACACAGCUUUGGGCUGCGAUUCCACCCUGGGUUUGCGGACUGCCCUGCUCCCAGAGGCUGCCCUUCCCCCCACCCCCCAGGAGUGAAUACAGGCCAGCUUCCUGCAGCCAUGGCCUGUACCUCCUGGUUCCUCCCCACCCUGGGGCCUUGGCAGCUUCUGGAACCCCUGGCACCAAGCAGGAUCGGCCCUUCUGGGGCCUUGGCCAAGACUUGGUCUUCCCCUUUCUCCCUCUUGCUGGGUCUGCACGCACGACGCUGAGUCAGAGGAUUGCAACAUCCUCUCCUCGGGCUUUGAGACCAGACAUCCUCUGCCCCGUGCACUGCCUCUAUCGGGCCAAGAUAUGGGAGUGGCAGAGGCUGCUUGGAUCUCUCAAGAAAAGACAUGCGGCGUGGCUGCCCCGCGUGCAGAUGGCUGGCUGAGAGCCUCCCACAGUUGGUUCCUUCAGGUUCUGCCUCAGCUCGCCAGUCGGGGACACCAGCUCCUGGCAGCGUCUGGCCAUUGACUGAGCCAGGCAAGGCACCUCCUUUCUGGAAGACCGGAUCCGUGCCGAUGGACUUUGGAGUCAGACAACCGGAGCACGAGUGUUGUCUCUGCCUGGGUAGCUUCGGAGCGGCAUCUGAUCUCUCCGAGCCUCAGUUUCCCCCUCUGAGUCAUGGGAACGGUAACGUGACGGCUGAGAGGCUCCAGUGAGUCAGCAACGAAGCCCUUAGCACACUUACCUGGCACCCAUACGUCACACUCAUCCAUCGGGAGGGAGACAAAUCUGGGUCUAUUUUCCACUCUGCCGGUUUCUGGCCUCUGAGCCUGGUCUGUAAGGUGGGGAUGGACCCUGUUCUUCCCCGAGUAGGACGCCCUGAGUUAGGUGCGGAAAGCCCCGGCCAAGCCUGGCACACCAGAAGCUCGAUAGCCGGGUGGUGUCAUUACGGCCACUGCCUUGAGGGGCUGAGCCGGCCAAGUCAUCUGAGGAAGAGGUGAGCAGGGAGCUGUAGGGCAGGCGUGUCUCACCCCCAUGGGGCCCUGGUCUUGGGCUGACCAACGAAGGGAAGUCCCAGGGCUAGGAAACCGUGGCGUCCUCCUGUAGAAGCUCCCUGAUUCUGGGAUACACCACAGAUGUGGGGAGGAGGGAGGAGGAAGCCCCCUGCCUUGCUCAUUCAGUGGGCAAGAAGGGAGGGAGAAUGUACGAGAAAAAAAAAAAAAAGUCGGCCUCCCUCGUCAGACUUGAGCAGACCUCCUCCAUCAGACUGGGAGGUCCCUGGGGUGGGGAUAGGUUCCCCGUCAGUGUAGGAGUUCCUUGUGCCUUUGAGUUGCGUUCUCCCUCCUCCAUCAGAUCAGGAUCUCCCUCAGAAGGGGGCAUGUGUCACUUGUCCACGGAUUAGAUUAUCUCUAAGAGUGAGUGAUGCCUCCCCUAUCAGACUGGGAGUUGUCCCCGGGUGUGUGGGGGGGUGUCUGGGGCAUGCCUCUCUGGGGACCGGGAGGUCGCUCGAGAUGAGGCGACAUGUUCCCCUCGUCUGUCUAAGGACAUCGGUUCUCAAUUGAGGGGGGCAAUUUUGCCCCCUUCGGGGGACAUCCGGAUGAGUAUUAGACUAGAGCUUCCUGAAGAUGGUGGACAUGCCUCCGCCAUCGUUCUAAAGUUCCCUGAGCGUGAGUCUGGGUCCUGCCUCCUCUAUCGGGCUGUCGCGCUGAGUUGUGGAGCUUGAAUUGGCCGUUGUAUGGGGAGCCCUGUGAGGAUGAGAUUAAUCUUAUCCCCAGCAUUAAAUGAGAAGUAUGGAUUA